UAAAACCUCUUACCUAGAAUUCUGGCUCCAAGGUCGCCAUAGCUUCAUUCUGAGUCUGGUGCUGGCACUGAAAACUGAAAAUAUCCAACAACACAGAACAGAAACAAACCCCAGGCCAAGAGGAACCUUGGAACCAAGAGUUAAGAGGAAGAUCAAAGUUCUUUGUGAACCAGGGUUACCAAAUCGUGGGUCAGAAAACUGAGUUUAAGAUCAGAGAAUUGAAGCAUGAAUAACCAGCAAGUAGAGGAACCAGGAUUCUAACCCAG